rnacentral:rRNA from 1 species
CCUACGGGUGGCAGCAGUGAGGAAUAUUGGUCAAUGGGCGAGAGCCUGAUCCAGCCAAGUCGCGUGAAGGAUGACGGCCCUACGGGUUGUAAACUUCUUUUGUCAGGGAGCAAUUGGGUCCACGCGUGGGCUUAGCGAGAGUACCUGAAGAAAAAGCAUCGGCUAACUCCGUGCCAGCAGCCGCGGUAAUACGGGGGAUGCGAGCGUUAUCCGGAUUUAUUGGGUUUAAAGGGUGCGUAGGCGGAAUAUCAAGUCAGCGGUAAAAAUUCGGGGCUCAACCCCGUCGUGCCGUUGAAACUGAUGUUCUGGAGUGGGCGAGAGGUAUGCGGAAUGCGUGGUGUAGCGGUGAAAUGCAUAGAUAUCGCGCAGAACUCCGAUUGCGAAGGCAGCAUACCGGCGCCCAACUGACGCUGAAGCACGAAGGCGUGGGUAGCGAACAGGAUUAGAUACCCGUGUAGUC